GGGGCUGUAGCUCAGUGGCAAAGCACUUGCCUUGCAUGUGUGAGGCCCUGGGUUUGAUCCUCAGCACCACCU
rfam:Ictidomys tridecemlineatus contig024105, whole genome shotgun sequence.